GACUGCUCCUGUGGCCUAGUGGUCAGACCGUCUGACUUGGAUACGGGAGGUCGUGGGUUCUAUCCCCAGCCGAGUCA